CCUACGGGAGGCAGCAGUGAGGAAUAUUGGUCAAUGGACGAGAGUCUGAACCAGCCAAGUAGCGUGAAGGAUGACUGCCCUAUGGGUUGUAAACUUCUUUUAUAUGGGAAUAAAAUGUUCCACGUGUGGGAUUUUGUAUGUACCAUAUGAAUAAGGAUCGGCUAACUCGGUGCCAGCAGCCGCGGUAAUACGGAGGAUCCGAGCGUUAUCCGGAUUUAUUGGGUAUAAAGGGAGCGUAGGUGGUUUGUUAAGUCAGUUGUGAAAGUUUGCGGCUCAACCGUAAAAUUGCAGUUGAAACUGGCAGUCUUGAGGACAGUAGAGGUGGGCGGAAUUCGUGGUGUAGCGGUGAAAUGCUUAGAUAUCACGAAGAACUCCGAUUGCGAAGGCAGUUCACUGGACUGCAACUGACACUGAGGCUCGAAAGUGUGGGUAUCAAACAGGAUUAGAUACCCGAGUAGUC
rnacentral:rRNA from 1 species